rnacentral:rRNA from 1 species
UACGUAGGGUGCAAGCGUUGUCCGGAAUUAUUGGGCGUAAAGAGCUCGUAGGCGGUUUGUCGCGUCGAAUGUGAAAACCCGGGGCUCAACCUCGGGUCUGCAGUCGAUACGAGCAAACUAGAGUGUUGCAGGGGAGGCUGGAAUUCCUGGUGUAGCGGUGAAAUGCGCAGAUAUCAGGAGGAACACCGGUGGCGAAGGCGGGUCUCUGGGCAACAACUGACGCUGAGGAGCGAAAGCGUGGGGAGCAAACGGG